rnacentral:rRNA from 1 species
UACGAAGGGGGCUAGCGUUGCUCGGAAUCACUGGGCGUAAAGGGUGCGUAGGCGGGUCUUUAAGUCAGGGGUGAAAUCCUGGAGCUCAACUCCAGAACUGCCUUUGAUACUGAAGAUCUUGAGUUCGGGAGAGGUGAGUGGAAUUCCGAGUGUAGAGGUGAAAUUCGUAGAUAUUCGGAGGAACACCAGAAGCGAAGGCGGCUCACUGGCCCGAUACUGACGCUGAGGCGCGAAAGCGUGGGGAGCAAACAGG